rnacentral:rRNA from 1 species
AAAAAGAGUGGAAUAGCAAAGUUAUACCAGUUCUCGUACGAUCACUAAAGUUAAGCAACAUUGGGCGUGGUCAAGACUUGGAUGGGUGACCACCUGGGAGAUCACGUGUUGUUGGUU